GUGGGAUUUGAAGCAUGAGACGGAAUGAGGUCACCAAGAGAGUGAAUGUAUAUAAAGCACAGAAGGUGUCCAAGGGCUGAGUUCUGAGAUACUUCAAUAGCAGAAGAUGAUAGUGAGAAGCAGAAGCCAGCUAAAGAGACUGAGAAAGACUCUUUCCUGGCAGUGAAGCACCAGGAAAACCAACAGAUCAUGCUCAGUGUUAGUGGAUUCACAAGCAACCUGUACUCCUCAAAGAAAGAUGAUAAGAUGAAGGAGAUCUCUAGAACCAGUGACUGGGGCUCUUCCUUCAGUGAAAAAAGUGGGUGUAUGCAGACUCAUCCAUUAAUCUAGAUUGCAGGGAUGUGACCUAUGUAAUGAACUUGCUACUUAUUGCUGAUCAUCAUCUUCUUCAAUGACAAAAAAAGAAAAUAGUAACAACGAAUAAGUCUCUUGGACAAAAUAAAUAACGGGAUUGUUACAGCAACCUGAUUUUUGAAAAGAAAAAAGGAACUUCCGUGAACUAAAACGGUUAAGACCUUGACAUUUGCUCACAGAAAGUCGUUGAGUCAUUUCUAGUUGUUAAGGGGCAAAAGAUGCAGUUGUCCCUUAUGGAAAAUUCCAAGAACUUGUGCCUAAUUUGAGUCAUGCAAACCUGAGUUCUGCAUGACUGAGCUCUGUCACUCAGUGGUUGGGAAAUUUAUGAUCAUCUCUACGCCUUGCUUUCUGCAUCUGUAAAGUGGAAAUGAUAAUAUCUACCUUGUGCGAUUCCUGGAAGAAUUAAAUACAUUAUAUUCAAAA